rnacentral:rRNA from 1 species
CCUACGGGCGGCUGCAGUGGGGAAUAUUGGACAAUGGGGGGAACCCUGAUCCAGCCAUGCCGCGUGUGUGAAGAAGGCCCUCGGGUUGUAAAGCACUUUCAGUGAGGAAGAACGCCUGGUGGUUAAUACCCAUCAGGAAAGACAUCACUCACAGAAGAAGCACCGGCUAACUCCGUGCCAGCAGCCGCGGUAAUACGGAGGGUGCGAGCGUUAAUCGGAAUUACUGGGCGUAAAGCGCGCGUAGGUGGCUUGAUAAGCCGGUUGUGAAAGCCCCGGGCUCCACCUGGGAACGGCAUCCGGAACUGUCAAGCUAGAGUGCAGGAGAGGAAGGUAGAAUUCCCGGUGUAGCGGUGAAAUGCGUAGAGAUCGGGAGGAAUACCAGUGGCGAAGGCGGCCUUCUGGACUGACACUGACACUGAGGUGCGAAAGCGUGGGUAGCAAACAGGAUUAGAUACCCCAGUAGUC